CGCGCGGGGGCGGGGCGGCUCCCCUCAGCGCGGGGCGCUCGUGGCCUCCCCUGAGGCGGCGGCUCCCCUCAGCGCGGGCGGGCGGGCGGCGCCCCCGGAGGUGAUAAUUCCCCUCAGCGCGGGCGGGCGGCGCCCCCGGAGGUGAUAAUUCCCCUCAGCGCGGCGGCUCGCGGCUAAGGCGGCGGCUCCCCUCGAGACCGUGGCUCCCCUCAGCGCGGGCGGGCGGCGCCCCCGGAGGCGCGUGCCGAGCCAGCAGUGGUGCAGUGAAAGCUUGGAGGUAUGAGAGUGUCUAAAAAGUAAGAAAACGGGUUUGUUGGGAAAAACGCUAAAACUCCAGGAAAAGAGAACACAAGUUAUAUUGCCAGAGUUUCAAAAAUUCGAGAUGUGAGUGUCUUGCUAGCAGAUGCACUAGACAAAGGGACUCCAUAAAGAAACGGGAUUACUUGACUACCAGUAGAUGAAUUGUCAUAGCAGGAGCAGAGAGCGAGCCAGGAAGUCCUAAGGACAGGAAAUGUCUUAAUCGUCAGACUAAAUCUCCUUUUAGGGGUGUCUGUUUCUGUGUAAUGAAGCUGUGUGGAUUCUGGCUAAAAGCAGCACCUACACCUAUGAGAGGUCUGUACAAAGAAGUAUAGGGGAGACUGAACAUCACCAAUAUGGGUCUUAACAACUAUUAGAAGCUUGCACAAUAAACAUGAGACUAUGAGGACAGCCGUGACCUCUGUGGGAAGAAAAGAGAAGAGCGAAAGAAUUUCAGUGGCUGGAGAGUGGACAAAUAAUCUGAACAGACGAGUGGAAGGAGCAGAGGGUGGAGCAGUGAAAGCAGAAAAACAGCUGUGAGCUAAACUCUUCCCUAGAGGAAGCUACUGAUGAGAGCAAAAAUUUUUCAGUUGCUGUGAUCGAAAGUAUUGCUCCACUGACACAAAUAGGGAAGCGCCGAAAUCGAGCUCCAGUUAAAUAUAUCUAGAUGCCAAACUUCUCUAUGGAACAGCAGGACCUAAAUCCAACUGACUCCAUUCAUAAUACUGUUUCAAAAGCUUCUUGAUUUAGAUGCAGAGGAAGAGAAAGAGACCACAGACCUGACGAGGAAUGUAUCCCAGAAGAGCAGAGUCAUAGCUCUCAAUGUUUUUUGUCUCAGAUUUCAGAGAUGGAAACAAAAUCAUAAGAGGCUGCGAGAACUAAGAAGCUUCCUCUGAGAGGUAGAAAAUUCCUUUCUUUCCAGACAUAGGUCUAAUCACAGAAGCAACAAGGAGGGAGCAGAAUGUGGUUAAUGUGAUUCUCCAUAGGAAGGAAGAGAAGCUGCUCUGCUGUAUCCGGCCAAACUGAGUGGUACGUGGCAUUCUACCCUUGUUUUGGGACAAGUCUUCAGCUGCUAAGCUGUUGAAGUCAAAAAUGAAAGAACUGUGAGGUAAUGAACAGUUCUGUGGUUAGAACCCUGAGAGGCUUCGUCUCCAUUUUAUUCUGCUCUCCUAAUACCAUAAAAGGCAAUUAUGUUAAAUGCUCUUGUGAGGAUGCCCUUCUUGUAUGUGAAGUCAUAAUUUGUUGCUGAGCACAUAUAUGGAUUCUCUUCUGUACCCAUUACAGAAAGAGUAUUGGUGAAAUGUAUAUACAGCAUGGAAUUCUCUGGCACUAUAACAACUAUUGUGCGGUUAAAUUCAGAAUUAAUUUUUCAUGAUGAAUUAAAUAUGAAAAUAAAUCAUAGUUUGCCCAGCAAACCCUUA